GUGAAUCAUCGAAUUUUUGAACGCAAAUUGCACUCUCUUCUGAGAGUAGGGCUGUUUGAGGGUGAGCCUAAAAAAAAUCGACAUAGUUGCUGUUACGCGGUAACAUUCUUCGGAAAUUGGGUCAUCUUAAACCUUUGGGGUUAAGCGGCUUAAAAGUUUUUUUACGAUUGCAAGAACGAUUUUAAGGUUUUAUUUUCUUAUACGUUUAAUGUAUCGAGCUUUAUUAGACUUUUCUGUUGUAUCGUCC
rnacentral:misc_RNA from 1 species